rnacentral:rRNA from 1 species
AUGCAUAGGAAUCUGCCCGAUAGUGGGGGAUAACCUGGGGAAACCCAGGCUAAUACCGCAUACGUCCUACGGGAGAAAGGGGGCUCCGGCUCCCGCUAUGGGAUGAGCCUAUGUCGGAUUAGCUAGUUGGUGAGGUAACGGCUCACCAAGGCCACGAUCCGUAGCUGGUCUGAGAGGAUGAUCAGCCACAUCGGGACUGAGACACGGCCCGAACUCCUACGGGAGGCAGCAGUGGGGAAUAUUGGACAAUGGGGGAAACCCUGAUCCAGCCAUGCCGCGUGUGUGAAGAAGGCCCUCGGGUUGUAAAGCACUUUCAGCGAGGAAGAACGCCUAGCGGUUAAUACCCGCUAGGAAAGACAUCACUCGCAGAAGAAGCACCGGCUAACUCCGUGCCAGCAGCCGCGGUAAUACGGAGGGUGCAAGCGUUAAUCGGAAUUACUGGGCGUAAAGCGCGCGUAGGUGGCUUGAUAAGCCGGUUGUGAAAGCCCCGGGCUCAACCUGGGAACGGCAUCCGGAACUGUCAAGCUAGAGUGCAGGAGAGGAAGGUAGAAUUCCCGGUGUAGCGGUGAAAUGCGUAGAGAUCGGGAGGAAUACCAGUGGCGAAGGCGGCCUUCUGGACUGACACUGACACUGAGGUGCGAAAGCGUGGGUAGCAAACAGGAUUAGAUACCCUGGUAGUCCACGCCGUAAACGAUGUCGACCAGCCGUUGGGUGCCUAGCGCACUUUGUGGCGAAGUUAACGCGAUAAGUCGACCGCCUGGGGGAGUACGGCCGC